AUGUGUAGAAGUGAAGGAGAGGUAGACUGUACAGUGUCAGCAGUGAGAAUACACAGUGCCACCAUGAAAGCAUCCAUUGCCCAAAGGGUCGUAGAAGUUGUGACUAUAUCAAAACCUGCUUAUCAGGUCAAAUGAAACUAGCAGUUAAUAGGCCAAAACUUAGCUUAUCAAGUACUCAAGCUACAGAACUGCUCACCAAAAGACGUCACAGAGAGUCCACUAGUGACUGAGAGUCACACACAGCAGGUGAGACAUGUGCUGAGUGGUAUGGAUGUUAAUUCCAACUUGUGAAAUUUUAGGUGGAGUGACACUUGCUGUGGGGAUAUCUGCCUGCACCAGCAAAUCAGCACAUAUUUAACAUAAUUGGCUGACAUGGGGAACUUGAUUUACCUAGUUUCUGCCCAUAUGCUAAUCUGGCUUUGGUAAUGCUAUUCAGUUUCUCAGAGCUCUGCAUGCUAAAAAAUAAAAUCAGCUCAUUAAAAAACUUAAAAUAGAUU
rnacentral:lncRNA from 1 species